GAUGAACGCUGGCGGCGUGCCUAAUACAUGCAAGUCGAGCGAACAGACGAGGAGCUUGCUCCUCUGACGUUAGCGGCGGACGGGUGAGUAACACGUGGAUAACCUACCUAUAAGACUGGGAUAACUUCGGGAAACCGGAGCUAAUACCGGAUAAUAUUUUGAACCGCAUGGUUCAAUAGUGAAAGACGGUUUUGCUGUCACUUAUAGAUGGAUCCGCGCCGCAUUAGCUAGUUGGUAAGGUAACGGCUUACCAAGGCAACGAUGCGUAGCCGACCUGAGGGGGUGAUCGGCCACACUGGAACUGAGACACGGUCCAGACUCCUACGGGAGGCAGCAGUAGGGAAUCUUCCGCAAUGGGCGAAAGCCUGACGGAGCAACGCCGCGUGAGUGAUGAAGGUCUUCGGAUCGUAAAACUCUGUUAUUAGGGAAGAACAAAUGUGUAAGUAACUAUGCACGUCUUGACGGUACCUAAUCAGAAAGCCACGGCUAACUACGUG
rnacentral:rRNA from 1 species